rnacentral:rRNA from 1 species
AUGCAGCAGCAGCAGGAGGAGGAGCAGCCGGCGCGGCGGCGGCGGAGCCCGGGGGGCUGGGAGGGGGCCACCGUGGACGAGGCCUCCAUGGAGCGCAGCAAGAGCUUCGUCAAGGCCCUGCAGGAGCUCAAGAACCUGCGGCCGCAGCUCUACUCCGCCUCCGAGUACUGCGAGAAGUCCUACCUCAACACCCACCAGAAGCAGAUGGUGCUGGACAACCUGAAAGACUACGCGGUGCGGGCGGUUGUCAACGCUGUCGACCACCUAGGCACCGUGGCCUACAAACUGACGGACCUGUUCGAGCAGCAGGCUUCCGAGAUCUCGACCUUCGAGCUCAAGGUUGCGCGCUUGAACCAGCAAAUUUUCACCUGCCAAAUCUAUGUGGACAAAGAAGGCUCCAGGCAGCAGCAGAUGAUGGGGGCAAGCAUGAAGCACCACAAGCACUACAUCCUACCAUCUACUGGCUAUAAGAGAACUCAGGCUGUUGCGCACCUGGGAACCGACACUAAUCAGGAAUCACAGCCUAGACCUUACCCCUCAGCAAAGACGCUUUCCUGGCACCUGGCGUCGGACAAUAGCCCUUCGGCAAACGGAGCUCAUAAACUUACGUUCAUCCUAGAUGACACGAUACCGUCCAAACUCGCAUCAGAUGGUCCGCAUCUUCUUGGUAAGGAGUUGCCCGCUUCUCCCGUGCGUAGGCCUCUGCAACUUAACCGGAAUACCAAAUCCGACGUCGCACAAAAGGUUGGCGCAAAGGAUCUGUCGGCGUUUAGUUCUUUCGACAGGCCUACAGGGCGUGAAAUCCAAAAGGCUCCUGCCAGCACUAAGAGCGUGCUAGCAUCUCUAUUUAUCAAGCACAAGUCAGCAAAGAUGAAAAGUAUCUCAGCUCGAUGA